rfam:Exiguobacterium sp. AT1b, complete genome.
ACAGAUGCGAUGAUGAGAAUAAGUACGUUACGUACGUCUACUGACAGAGAGCUAGUGGUUGGUGCAAACUAGUGAGAUGACGUGACCGAAUCGGCCUCGGAGCAUUGACUUGGAAACAGGUCACGUUCGCACACGUUACGUGCAUCGAGUGGCUCAAACUUUUGAGCAACGAGGGUGGCAACGCGGAUCCAAGGUGGUUCGUCCCUUUC